AAUAGAUACCCGGGUAGUCCACGCCGUAAACGAUGAGUGCUAAGUGUUAGAGGGUUUCCGCCCUUUAGUGCUGCAGCAAACGCAUUAAGCACUCCGCCUGGGGAGUACGGUCGCAAGACUGAAACUCAAAGGAAUUGACGGGGGCCCGCACAAGCGGUGGAGCAUGUGGUUUAAUUCGAAGCAACGCGAAGAACCUUACCAGGUCUUGACAUCCUCUGACAACCCUAGAGAUAGGGCUUCCCCUUCGGGGGCAGAGUGACAGGUGGUGCAUGGUUGUCGUCAGCUCGUGUCGUGAGAUGUUGGGUUAAGUCCCGCAACGAGCGCAACCCUCGAUCUUAGUUGCCAGCAUUCAGUUGGGCACUCUAAGGUGACUGCCGGUGACAAACCGGAGGAAGGUGGGGAUGACGUCAAAUCAUCAUGCCCCUUAUGACCUGGGCUACACACGUGCUACAAUGGGCAGAACAAAGGGCAGCGAAGCCGCGAGGCUAAGCCAAUCCCACAAAUCUGUUCUCAGUUCGGAUCGC
rnacentral:rRNA from 1 species